CCUUGCCAGGGCCUGCUCCCUCUGCCCCAUGCAAUCAUCUUCGGGGAAAUGGCAAAAACAGGGCUUUGCCUGCCUGGGAUCUCACACACUGACACUCCCCAGUGCGUUUGUACUUUCUCUGUUAGACAAGGCCUCCCCCCACCAAAGAAGAGGGUCAGUGAUGUCUUGCAGGGUCGGCAGCCAGAACCUGUGGGAAAAAGCAUGCAGGGGAUGUUGCAUAGCCAUGGGGUCAGGCUGGGGGAGUUGCUGAUCCAACCAUCAUGGAAACCAACUACAAGAAGCAGGCAGUGAAAGUGAGCCCUGAGUGAGGGUGGAGGAGUCAGAUGGACUUUGCAGUGCUGUUUCCCAACCCUGUGACCUUUGGACUCUCAGUGUUGCAUACCAGGAGCCAUGUGCCCCAGGCAGGGGCUUACUGCCUGUUUGGAAAUGAUGACAAAGAUGAUAAAGAGCAUUUUGGUGACAGCACAGCACAAAU